GUUGCUAGGAUAAGGGUCAUGCCACUGAGAUUGAGCUUGACAUGAGCUAGCCUAUUGUAUCAGAGAAUAAAGUCUCUCAACAGUUUGUAAAAGAAAAGACCAGACUAACAAAAUUUUUCCCUAAAAGAAGACAGUCCCAUGCUCACACUGCUCCACAACAAUCCCCUGCAACAGGUUCUGCUGGUCCACCUGAUACCAUUACUACAGCUUCAAAUGAUUGGCCACCACCCUUUGGUCCAGUUUCAGAUAUGCCAGCACAUUCCACCCCUCCACUUGAUCCAAUGCUAGGUGCAUCCAUAGCUACAGCGACAAGACUAAGGAACUUCUUGCGUUUCAUGCCAACUCCAAGAUUCAAACCACCAGACAAAAAAAACGUAAAAAAUGAAAUUACUUAUGAAAGUGUUUGUUGUUUGUGUCAUUUUGAUAUCAGGCUUUUGUUAUAUGUUACUAAGUCUAUGUUAGGACCUUUAUGUUUCAUUAUUAGAGAUUUGCUUUUUAUAUACUCUACGUGGGAUGUUAUGUUUUUUUUAUGGUGUGUAGAAUUACACGGAUUAUGUUUGGGAUACACUUAAAUGGUGGUCAGUGUUUCAUUCUCUCUCUAGAUUGAGAUUAUAUUAUCAAACCAACAUGACAAAAAAACAAAAAAUAAUUGUAUUCAUGUGUUCACAAGUACAAGUAGGAUAUACAAUUAUUCAAAUUUAGGAUUUUUCAAUC